GUGUCUACGGAUUUUGAAUGGUGUCGGGGAUUUGUGAAUGGCAAGUAAAACAAAUGGCAUUUUUAAAGCAUGUUUAUCCAGUUCAUUUGACAGGGAGUAAAAUAUUGCUUUCUUCUCAUUAUCACAGGAACAUAUCUACUGUGCUAUUUUAGAAACCUGGCCCUUGAGAAAACUUGGGAAUCAAGGGACCAGGGUGCCUGAAGGGAAACUUCCUUCCUUUUCCAUAUAUUCAAGUUGUAUGAAAUCUGGCAAGUGGUCAAAUGAGGAUCAGACAUUUUCGAUAAGAGCAACCUCCCCAUGGAACUCUCUGCCAGGGAAGAUUGUUGUUGUUGGUAUGCUGGUCCUGUGAUCCCAUUGAACCUGCCCCGAGGUAAGGGAGGAGUCCUCCGAAAGGCAUUCCUGUGGAGCAUCCUGGUUCGUUGACCUGGGCUGCAGCAUGAAGAGAGACUUCUGGGAACAAGGACACAAUAGAAACCAUCAGAGCUUUCACCAUGUAAACCCAUGAAAGAUGAAAUGCAAUAUUACUAAUUCAUGGAGUGCAGCAUUUUAACCCUGUUCUUUAUAAAUGCCAGUUCACAAUUCUACAGAAUUAGUGAGUCACAAUUCUAGCUUUUCGUUCUGCGCUUAGUUUUCUGCUCCUACACCUGGAGAAAUAGAAUAAAGAGAUUGAUGCUACAAA